rnacentral:rRNA from 1 species
GGGUGCGUAGGCGGAUGUUUAAGUGGGAUGUGAAAUCCCCGGGCUUAACCUGGGGGCUGCAUUCCAAACUGGAUAUCUAGAGUGCAGGAGAGGAAAGCGGAAUUCCUAGUGUAGCGGUGAAAUGCGUAGAGAUUAGGAAGAACACCAGUGGCGAAGGCGGCUUUCUGGACUGUAACUGACGCUGAGGCACGAAAGCGUGGGUAGCAAACAGGAUUAGAUACCCCGGUAGUCCACGCCGUAAACGAUGGAUACUAGGUGUAGGGGGUAUCAACUCCCCCUGUGCCGCAGUUAACACAAUAAGUAUCCCGCCUGGGGAGUACGGUCGCAAGAUUAAAACUCAAAGGAAUUGACGGGGGCCCGCACAAGCAGCGGAGCAUGUAGUUUAAUUCGAAGCAACGCGAAGAACCUUACCUGGACUUGACAUCCCUUGCAUAGCCUAGAGAUAGGUGAAGCCCUUCGGGGCAAGGAGACAGGUGGUGCAUGGUUGUCGUCAGCUCGUGUCGUGAGAUGUUAGGUUAAGUCCUGCAACGAGCGCAACCCUUGUUAUUAGUUGCUACCAUUAAGUUGAGCACUCUAAUGAGACUGCCUGGGUAACCAGGAGGAAGGUGGGGAUGACGUCAAUCAUCAUGCCCCUUAUGUCCAGGGCUACACACGUGCUACAAUGGUAGGUACAAUAAGACGCAAGACCGUGAGGUGGAGCAAAACUUAUAAACCUAUCUCAGUUCGGAUUGUACGCUGC